UUUACCUCAAAUUAUUCUUUUCACAGAUGAAGAUUUUGAAGAUUAAAGAACUACAUGUGAAAGAACAGUUAGACUUUUUGGGUGCUAAGAUCCAAAGUCAAGAGAGAAACAGCCCAGACGUUCCCUAAGGUCCCUAAGCAAUGACUUAGUGGAAAAUAUAGCGAUCGAGCGAUGACAAACAGGAGGUGGGCUUGGAAGCAACCACCCUUUGAAGAACGCGUAAUAGCUCACUAGUCUAUCUCCAUGGAAACCAAAAUGUAUUAGGGCUCAAGUGAUUCACCGAAGCGACGAGACCUUGAAAGUUGCUUUUUCAAGUGUCAAUAGCGGAACGUUCUCUCAAUCGGGGAAGGGUUUUGGUUACAAGACUUGUAGAUAUCAAAAGUU
rnacentral:ncRNA from 1 species